UACGUAGGGGGCAAGCGUUAUCCGGAAUUACUGGGUGUAGAGGGAGCGUAGACGGUAAUGUAAGUCUGGAGUGAAAGGCGGGGGCCCAACCCCCGGACUGCUCUGGAAACUAUGUUACUAGAGUGCAGGAGAGGUAAGCGGAAUUCCUAGUGUAGCGGUGAAAUGCGUAGAUAUUAGGAGGAACACCAGUGGCGAAGGCGGCUUACUGGACUGUAACUGACGUUGAGGCUCGAAAGCGUGGGGAGCAAACAGG
rnacentral:rRNA from 1 species